rnacentral:rRNA from 2 species
GAGUUUGAUCUUGGCUCAGAACGAACGCUGGCGGCAUGCCUAACACAUGCAAGUCGAACGAGACCUUCGGGUCUAGUGGCGCACGGGUGCGUAACGCGUGGGAAUCUGCCCUUGGGUUCGGGAUAACAGUUGGAAACGACUGCUAAUACCGGAUGAUGUCUUCGGACCAAAGAUUUAUCGCCCAGGGAUGAGCCCGCGUCGGAUUAGCUUGUUGGUGAGGUAAAAGCUCACCAAGGCGACGAUCCGUAGCUGGUCUGAGAGGAUGAUCAGCCACACUGGGACUGAGACACGGCCCAGACUCCUACGGGAGGCAGCAGUGGGGAAUAUUGGACAAUGGGCGAAAGCCUGAUCCAGCAAUGCCGCGUGAGUGAUGAAGGCCUUAGGAUUGUAAAGCUCUUUUACCCGGGAUGAUAAUGACAGUACCGGGAGAAUAAGCCCCGGCUAACUCCGU